UCCGAGAUCGUCUAACGGCAGGACAAGGGACUCUGAAUCCCUCAAUCAUGGUUCGAAUCCAUGUCUCGGAACCA
rnacentral:tRNA from 1 species